rnacentral:rRNA from 1 species
AUACGUAGGGUGCAAGCGUUAAUCGGAAUUACUGGGCGUAAAGCGUGCGCAGGCGGUUUUGUAAGACAGAGGUGAAAUCCCCGGGCUCAACCUGGGAACUGCCUUUGUGACUGCAAGGCUAGAGUACGGCAGAGGGGGAUGGAAUUCCGCGUGUAGCAGUGAAAUGCGUAGAUAUGCGGAGGAACACCGAUGGCGAAGGCAAUCCCCUGGGCCUGUACUGACGCUCAUGCACGAAAGCGUGGGGAGCAAACAGGAUUAGAUACCCUGGUAGUCCACGCCCUAAACGAUGUCAACUGGUUGUUGGGUCUUCAUUGACUCAGUAACGAAGCUAACGCGUGAAGUUAACCACCUGGGGAGUACGGCCGCAAGGUUGAAACUCAAAUGAAUUAACGGGG